GAUGAAGAACGUAGUGAAAUGCGAUAAGUAAUGUGAAUUGCAGAAUUCAGUGAAUCAUCGAAUCUUUGAACGCACAUUGCGCCCGCUAGUAUUCUGGCGGGCAUGCCUGUCCGAGCGUCAUUUCAACCCUCAAGCCCCCGGGCUUGGUGUUGGGGAUCGGCGAGCCUCCGCGCCCGCCGUCCCCUAAAUCUAGUGGCGGUCUCGCUGUAGCUUCCUCUGCGUAGUAGCACACCUCGCACUGGGAAACAGCGCGGCCACGCCGUUAACCCCCAACUUCUGAACGUUUGACCUCGGAUCAGGUAGGAAUACCCGCUGAACUUAAGCAUAUCAAUAAGCGGAGGA
rnacentral:misc_RNA from 1 species